AGAUUGAACGCUGGCGGCAUGCCUUACACAUGCAAGUCGAACGGCAGCACGGGAGCAAUCCUGGUGGCGAGUGGCGAACGGGUGAGUAAUACAUCGGAACGUGCCCAAUCGUGGGGGAUAACGCAGCGAAAGCUGUGCUAAUACCGCAUAAGAUCUACGGAUGAAAGCAGGGGAUCGCAAGACCUUGCGCGAAUGGAGCGGCCGAUGGCAGAUUAGGUAGUUGGUGAGGUAAAGGCUCACCAAGCCUUCGAUCUGUAGCUGGUCUGAGAGGACGACCAGCCCACACUGGGACUGAGACACGCCAGACUCCUACGGGAGGC
rnacentral:rRNA from 1 species